UCGCCUGAAGUGAAAACCGUCAAGGCAACUCAAAAACAAGGUCUACUGCUGUGUCCCGUAACAGUCCGAAAUUGUAACCAUAUUGCUGAAUUCGAUCCCUUUGGAUGGGCUGACAUGGCAGGGAAAAGGCCAGCCAAGUUGCUAGUUAUCCUGAAUUCUGAUGACACCAGGAAGCUAAUUCUGCCUGAUGGCAUUCCAGAGACAAUGGAGCAGCUAUUGAAUGAAGUCAGGAAACAGUUUGAGUUAAAUGGAACUUUUAGACUGCAGUACAAAGACAGAGACUUUGGAGAUGCACUCGUGAACUUGACAUCUACUGCAGAACUUGAGGAUUUGACAACUGUCAAGGUCAUCCCAAUAACUGAUGAUUGCAGCGAAGGAUUUGAUAUCACUGCCUCUAAUGAGUCGAUGUGUACCCAAUCAGAUGACACAGAGCUCCUGUCCUCACCCUCCAGCACUGUCUCUACAAGAACUCAGUUGUGGCCAAGAGUGUUUCCAAUACCAACAUUCUCUUACGAA